rnacentral:rRNA from 1 species
UACGUAGGGUGCGAGCGUUAAUCGGAAUUACUGGGCGUAAAGCGUGCGCAGGCGGUUUUGUAAGCCAGAUGUGAAAUCCCCGGGCUUAACCUGGGAAUGGCAUUUGGGACUGCAAGGCUUGAGUGCGGCAGAGGGGACUGGAAUUCCUGGUGCAGCAGUGAAAUGCGUAGAGAUCAGGAGGAAUACCGAUGGCGAAGGCAGCCCCCUGGGCUGACACUGACGCUCAGGCACGAAAGCGUGGGGAGCAAACAGG